CACUAUUAUUAAGUUAAUUUGCAUUGAUAAUAUAAAUACAUCCCUCUAAAAAAAGUUAUAACUUUUUUAAAAUAUCUCUUUUAUAGGUGAACAGGCAAAGACUGUGAAGAGCAUCCUGAAGGACAACAUGCUCCAGAAGCAGAGUAACUCUGUUGGGGUCGUGCGCUGGACACUAUCAGAGAAAGAUAUUCAGGUCCACAGUUCUGCCCCCACCAGCCCCUUCAAGAACAUUAGUGGAUUUUCUACCCGUUCACAGCAAAGGCAACGUCAGCAAGGUCUGAAAGAUCUCCGGAGCUUGGAUGAGUGCAUCAGAUUCAUAAACCACUGGAAGCAACAGGUGGCACAAGUCUGCAAGAAUGAGGAUGAUCCUGGUGAAGGGUGCAGCAGGCAGGCAGAGCGUCAGACAGACCCCAGAACUGAGCGCAGUCUUGAAGAGAGUCGCAAGCUUAUUGUGCAGUGGGCCAGUGAACUUCAAAGUGUAGACAAGCUGUCUGAAAAGCAUCCGUGGAUAAAGGAGAGGAUUGAUCAAGAGGAGGAAGAGGACACAAAGAAGGAUAAAGAUCAGAGUGAGGUGGUACAGAAGAGGAUCACGCAGUGGGCCAAAGAGAUACAGAGUGUGUCAGAGAGCUCUGGAAUGUUGGGAGAUGAACUGGCACGGCUAUUGCGUCUCCUGGGACUGAAGAAGAAGAAGCUGGUUUCCCUCAUGCCACUGCUGGAGUUCAUCACUUGGAGUUUGCUGAAAGAAGACAGCAAGGGCAUGGUUCCUCAUCUAUGGCUUGCAGCUAAGCAACGCACCUGGAAAGCUGGUGAGGGAUCUGAAAUCUAACCUUAAAUGAAUAAAGCUGAAAAGUACACCAAUGAAUAU
rnacentral:lncRNA from 1 species